ensembl:lncRNA
UUGACAUUGCUUUCGACACCUGGUAGAGACCAUGUCCGACGACUCAAUAUUAUGAUUUUUUUGUGAGAUUUUUAUUUUUUUUACAUCGUACAAAUCGGUUAUUCAAUGGGUUUGUGUGGGCUAAUAGCAGUAAGGCCAAAUUCAGUGUUUCAUCAAAUAAUCUUGUAAUAUAUAUUUUCUAUACCUAAAGGGGUACUAGAAUUCAAAAUCUAACUUUUUUCACUACCAAAGGACUCCUGACUCGAAUAUUACGGACUCUGACAAUCAGAUAUUGCGGACUUGGGACUCGACUGGGACUUGACUGUUUUAGUGACUCGACUACAUCACUGCAUGACCAAACCAUGAACUGUGGUGUUGAAUGUGGAGACCAAACUUGACACUUGGCUAAUGAUUGCCCUUCUGCAGCCCAGGGUUUCCCUGAUGGAUCAGACACAUGGAGAAGUCAAGUGCCAAUUAACAGACUCGAAAGGUCUUUACCAACUAAUUGGGUUGAGAAGCAUGCCAAAUGUUUCAGAUUGGGACUACCGCGGACGAGCUCCCGUUAAAAGCUAAAGGCUGUAUCACAACCGGCCGUGAUUGGGAGUCCCAUAGGGCGGCGCACAACUGGCCCAGCGUCGUCCGGAUUUGGCCGUCAUUAUGACAAAACCUGCACACAGGCCAAGGGGUGCAGGUCUGCCGACUUCCUUCUGGCCACACAUUGUAUUCUGAGAAAUAGGACAUUGCUUUAACUGUGAAUGUACUUUAUUGCAGAUAUUUUCCUCAAAUAAAAUUCACCAUACAUUAAAAUAAACAAGUUAUUACAACUGAUUUACAUUGGGUCUAAUGUGUGUAUGAGGCAUGUUUUUCAACUCAGAAAAAAAGCACACAAAAUGUCCUAAAACUACAUAUUAAGCAAGUCUUUUACAAUAUUAUCAAUCACACUUUGAUUUGAUAGAUAGUUUGAGUAAUUAUGUAGAUAUUGAGCAUGUCUAUGAGGGAGUAGAUAUCUCCAAUCCUACAAUAAAAUGGAGCAAACAUUAAACAAGUAAUUACAACUUAUUUACAUUGUGGAUGUGUG